UCGAACAUAAACUUUUGAUACAGUAAACUUGCAACCCCCCUCCCUCUCUCUCUCUCUCUCUCUCUCUCUCUAAAAUGCAUGAUCUGUGCUCUUUCUCCCGAUGAUGUUCUUCUCCAAUACUUCUGCUCAUCAAUCUUCUUCUCCAACUCCACGCUAGAGCCUUCAUCGAUUCGGUUUCCCCCAAAAUUAACACCAUCGCAUUCCAAAUCUGAGGAUUAUUCAUCGUUCAACAUCUCGUCUCAUUACCACCUCCAAAUCCAGAUCCAAUCGAUCCAGUUGUCAUCAAUCGGUAAAUCCUCAAACGAUCCAGGCUUGAUUAACUUCGAUCAUCAAAAAGAUGAAGGUGUGAUGUGGUUGGAGUUCAAGGCGUCAACGACGUUUGUCACCAUCGAGGCUCCCAAGGAAUUCUACUUCCUCUUCCGUAUGUGACGAAGUCGGUCCACUCUUCAUACCAGAUUUAAUCAGCAACACAGAGAAAUAAAGCAACAACAGCCAACAAAAGUCCAAAACCAACAUCCUUAAGGGCAAAAUGGUCAUAAAAUAAAAAAAUAUGUAUAUCAGGCUCCAGGAGGGAAGAAAGAGCAGCGCUAAGUUGAGAACUACAACCAAAUAAAUUCCAGGACCAGUAGCACCAAUAAGAACCCAUUUGGAUUGAAACUAACAACAUCCGGGGGCAAAAUGGUCCAAUUCAGGGAAAAGAAAAAAAAUCCACAAAAAGCAUUACCAGAUGCAGAUUUGUAUGUGCUGAAUACCCAACAACCGACUUCUGGAAAGAUGAAGGGAUGACACUGAGAGGAAAGGGGCUAACUAUUCCUGAUUGGAGCUUUUUGCAUGGACUUUCUAGUAUAUUAAAGAUUUUGAAGAAUUUGUGGAAAAGAUAUUGAAGAGGUGAAAAAUAAUAAAUUGAAGAAAAUAUGGAAAUCUCGAUAUGAAGAAAUGAUAACAUUGUGAAUCUUUGUAGUUUUUUCAUAUUUUAUUUUGUAUCGAAUAAAAUACUUGUAUUAUUUUUUUAGAUUGAUUAAUGAAAAUGAGAUUUUUUAGAA